rnacentral:rRNA from 1 species
AAUAUUGGACAAUGGGCGAAAGCCUGAUCCAGCCAUGCCGCGUGUGUGAAGAAGGUCUUCGAAUUGUAAAGCACUUUAAGUUGGGAGGAAGGGGUGUAGGUUAAUACCCUGCAAUUUUGACGUUACCAACAGAAUAAGCACCGGCUAACUUCGUGCCAGCAGCCGCGGUAAGUCGAAGGGUGCAAGCGUUAAUCGGGAUUACUGGGCGUGAAGGGCGCGUAGGUUGUUCGUUAAGUUGGAAGUGAAAGCCCCGGGCUUAACCUGGGAAUUGCUUUCAAAACUGACGAGCUAGAGUACGGUAGAGGGUAGUGGAAUUUCCUGUGUAGCGGUGAAAUGCGUAGAUAUAGGAAGGAACAUCAGGGGCGAAGGCGACUACCUGGACUGAUACUGACACUGAAGUGCGAAAGCGUGGGGAGCAAACA